UGACCGCUGGCGGCGUGCCUACUACAUGCACGUCGAGCGAACAGACGAGGAGCUUGCUCCUCUGACGUUAGCGGCGGACGGGUGAGUAACACGUGGAUAACCUACCUAUAAGACUGGGAUAACUUCGGGAAACCGGAGCUAAUACCGGAUAAUAUAUUGAACCGCAUGGUUCAAUAGUGAAAGACGGUUUUGCUGUCACUUAUAGAUGGAUCCGCGCCGCAUUAGCUAGUUGGUAAGGUAACGGCUUACCAAGGCGACGAUGCGUAGCCGACCUGAGAGGGUGAUCGGCCACACUGGAACUGAGACACGGUCCAGACUCCUACGGGAGGCAGCAGUAGGGAAUCUUCCGCAAUGGGCGAAAGCCUGACGGAGCAACGCCGCGUGAGUGAUGAAGGUCUUCGGAUCGUAAAACUCUGUUAUUAGGGAAGAACAAAUGUGUAAGUAACUAUGCACGUCUUGACGGUACCUAAUCAGAAAGCCACGGCUAACUACGUG
rnacentral:rRNA from 1 species